UACGUAGGGGGCAAGCGUUGUCCGGAUUUAUUGGGCGUAAAGAGCGUGUAGGCGGCCUGGUAGGUCAGCUGUGAAAACUCGAGGCUCAACCUCGAGACGUCGGUUGAAACCACUUGGCUAGAGUCCGGAAGAGGAGAGUGGAAUUCCUGGUGUAGCGGUGAAAUGCGCAGAUAUCGGGAGGAACACCAGUAGCGAAGGCGACACUCUGGGCCGGAACUGACGCUGAGGAGCGAAAGCGUGGGGAGCAAACAGG
rnacentral:rRNA from 1 species